UGUAUCAAAUAUGUCAUAUUAGUUCCAUUUCAUACUUAUAACCAAUUUAAACAUCAUUCUACAACCACAAGCACAAAACUCUUAUACUUAAACCUAUACAUCACUUAGGUACAUGCCACGUUAUCAAAAGAAAGGUACAUCACUAAAAUUUCUCUGAGGUCGAGAUUGCUCUGGAUGCUGGACCAAACACUGGUUUUCUACUAACCUGCUCAUGGAAACAACCGUACGCUGAGUAUGGGAAUACUCAGUGGUAUUACCAUAAUUCAAAUUUAUAACAUUCAUCGGUAAAUUAUAUACAUUCAAUUUAUACCUACAGUUAUUCAUUAAUUAUCUCAUACUUUAAAUCAACUUGAUCAUUAAUAACAAUAAGCAAUAUUUCAAUCUUAUAUUUAAUUGUAUUCAUACCUUAUUUCACUAUCUAAAUUUUAUUGGAUUUUUCAACAUCUCAUUCUAAUAACUCAUUCCAAUUCAUGCAAAUUCAAUCAAUUUAUCAACUCAUUCAUUAUCAUUUCUAUUGAUAUUCAAUUUAUACUUUAAAUCUUUUAAUAAUCAAAUUAAACAUUUAGACCAAUAUGUUUCAAUAAUAAUAAUAACUAAUUUUAUAAAAUUGUAUUCAAAUUAACUCAUACACUAUUUCUUAAUUCAAUUUAUACGAUUAAUCUUUCAAUAAACAUUUAAUACAUAAAAUCAACUUGUUUCAACAACAACAACAAUAAUAACUAUCUUUUAAUUCGAUUCGUUCAUUUGUAAUCAAUUUACACUUAUAAUCUUUUAACACUCAAUUUAUACAUUAAAUCCAUAAAUAAAUUUCAAGAACUUGUAUUCGAUUAAAUUCACAUAUUAUUUCACUAUUUCAAAUCAUUUUAUUUUCACUUCUCAUUUCUCAACAAUAUCUAUUUCAAUUUGCUUUUCUUCACUUAGAUUUUUACAUCAUCUCAUACUACCAAAACCAUUUCAUGAACUAUACCAUUAUCUAUUUCUUGAACCCAUGGUUCAUACAUUUCAUUUCCAUAUCUCAAUUUAAUAUCUUAUUUCAAUUCAUAUUCAAGAUCAUUCAAUAAAAUUAUAUUAUCCUUAUUAUUCAUUUACCCCUAUUAACUUGACUCGGACUUUGCCAGAUACACGGAUCCAACCAAACACACCAGAAUGGCACCCAGUGUCUCAUCGGAUAAUUCGAAGCAAUAGUUGACACCCAGUGUCUCAUCGGCAAAGCCGAAGAAAUAUAGUGACACCCAGUGUCUCAUCGACUCGAGGUCGAAGUAUCCCUGAACUCUUCCAAUCCUAUGGCAUGCCAACUAUAUCCGACUCAGCCCAACUAGUUAAUAGGGUAUUCAAAUAAUUUUUUUUUCUAUUUCAAAUUCACUUUCGAUUCAAUCACAAUUCAUUUCAAAUUCACUUUUCACUUACUAAUCAAUAUACAAUUCAAUACCAAUACAUUUUUCCACUUUCCAAUCAAUGUACCAUCAAAUGCUCAUAUAUAUUCAUACUUCAUUUCAAUUUCAUUCAAUUCAGAAUUUCUCAUGUUCACAAUUCAAAUCAAUUUCUCAAUCUAAUAUGUGUUUCAGUACCACAUUCAUUCUUUUAGUUCAAAUCAUAUCACUAGUAAUUUCCAUUCAAUUCACAUAUAAUUCAAUAUCAUUUAAUUCAAUAUCGAUAUUCAUCUUAUUUUUAUUUACUAAACAUAUUAUUCAAAAUUCAACAAUUGCUAUUAAUAAAUUCAAUACCAAUACAUAUUUUUCAUUCAAUUCAAUCAUGAUACUUACCUCAAUUUGCUUAUCAUGUAUAUUAAUUUAAAAUUUAACAAUUAAUAAUUAAAUUCGAAUUAUGGUAAUACUAACCGAAAUUUUCUCGAAUCACCUUGUCCACCUUCUCCUUUCCUUUCUCGAACAAUGACUCUUGCACGACAUUAGCUACGUAAUUAAACAAUUAAAAAUCAUUAGUACAAAAUUUCAUCAAAAUAUUUCCAUUUAUACCUAAAUUUACUUAAAUUCUAAUUUAAUCUCUUAUCAAUACUAAUUUUAUUUUCCCAAUCUAACUCCAUAUUCUCUAUUAAUUCUUACUAUAAACUCAUUUUAACUCUUCAAUUUCACCAUAAAUCCCUAAUUUCAAAAUUCUUUCAAUUUAGUCCCUACUAUUCAAAACUUAUGUUUUAUUUUAUAAAUCAACCCUUUACUAACUUCUAACUUGAAAUUCAAUCAAUUUAACCCCUAAUUCAUCAAUUAAUUCAACAUAACUCAUGUCUAAAAAUCUACUAUCUUUCAAAAUUUCAACACAUACUUAAUAGUAUUUUGCUCUAAUUUCAUAAAAACUCAAAAAUUACAAGAAAAGGAGUUAAAUUAACUUACCAAAUUAACUUUGAACCUUGAAACCCUAAAUUUUCCUUCUUUCCUUCCCUUUCUCUUUUUUUUUUCCUUCCUCCCCUGUUUUCGUUUUGCUAUUGUGUUUC
rnacentral:lncRNA from 1 species